UUGUAGAAUUGAAUAAAGAUAUAAUCAAAAAGACCAGUUUGGAUAGCUUUCUGAAGGUAGUAAAUGUAUGGUUCAGUUGGACAUUGAGGUGCUGCAGACAAGUAAAAAUACUUGUUCUGUCUAAAAGUGUCAAGUUCUCUAGCAAGGUCAUCCCAAUAAAGUUCAGUUUUUUCAAUAUCAAAAUCAAUGCCAUUCAAUGUAACAUUUCCUAAUGGACCAUAUUGGUCACUUAGAAAGUUAUCAUAGAGGUACUUGGCUACAUUCUUUGCAUCUUGGGGUGAAGUUAGGCCAUAAACAUACGGAUAAACAUCGGCGCCUCCAAGGGAAAGUAACACUUUGACACCUGUUACAGAAAUAUAGAAACUAAUAAUCAACAAAUUGUAGUAGUAUUGAAUUGAUCAAAUUGCAUAUACUAACAAGAAAAAUAAGCAUAAACAGACAAAUUGUUUUACAUAAGUCUAAGUUGAAGCAUGCCACAAUGUGUUUACCUUAUAUUAGUAGAAUAAGUUGUUAGUUACAUCAAAACCAAACAAAAACUAUAAGGAUUGAAACCAAAAUUCAUAAACUUUCAAGACCAAAAACAUAUUUAACUAUUUCUCUACACAGAACAAUAAGAGUAAAACAUAAUGACCCAAUAUGUUUGAUUGCAACAAACUAGUAAAAAUCAAAUCUUUACAACAGAAAAAGUAAUCAUGAAAUUCCAACAAGACCUUUGGCUUGGCAGUGUUUUAUUUCAGGUUCAAGUUUAGUGCAUGGACUCCAAUCACCACAAUGGCCUGCAAAGUUCCAUUGAACUUCUCUGCCACCACCAAACUGAACAAGGAAAGCUAGUAGAACUAUCUCAUACUUGUUACUGUCACAUGUAUCAGUCAAUGAGCCAUCACCAUUGUUCUGGCCCCAGUAAAUGGCUAUUCCACCAGUGGAGCCUAGUGAAGGGUCAAUGAUGGAGGAGAAUGUGAAGAGGGACAAGACAAGUAUCAAUAUUUGGGUUUUGGAAAACAUGAUUGUGUUUUAUUUAAUGAUUUUCUUGUUUGGGUUGGAACCUAUUUAUAGUGAAUUCAUGAUCAUAGGGAAUAUCCAAGCUUUGUUUCUAAUAUCAGAUUAAAUGUAUCAAGUUUAGCCAUGAUUUUAUAAUUUAUACACCACUUGUGUAAUUAUAACACAUUAUUCUUGUGCUACUACUUUUUCAAAGAGAAAAAAUUGUAUAAUGUAGAACUUUUUUACACUAUUAUUAUAUAAAAAAUUAUAAAAUAACACUGAAUAGAAAGAUUUUUUAUAUUUAAACAAUUCGUUUUUUUUAACGUGUUAGUUGUGGUUUAAUUUGGAUUUCAUAGUAUUGGUCACAUAAUACAUGUAUUUUUUAAUCUUAAUCGUUCAAUCAAAAUGUAAUAUUAUAUAUUAAGUAUUAUCAUUUCUCAUAAUAGCGCAAUAUUCUCACGUAAGUAUAUAUUAUAUAUAUAUAUAUAUAUAUAAAUAAAGAGAAUUCACUAAGUUAAAAAAAUAUUUUAGAUUUUAAUCAUCUAUUUUAUGAAAAAUAUAAUAGUUUAUAUUUAUUAACUAAUUCAAUUCAUAUGAGUCAUUUUAUAGAAUAAAUGACUAAUAUGUAUAAUAUAUUUUUAAUUUACUCUUGAAAUAAGUGUUCACUAAUUAAAAUAUUUUACAUCUCAACUAUUCAUUAUAAUUAAAUUAUUCCUCGUGAAUACCUCUUAUUAACAUAUACAUGUGAUCUUGUGAAUAACCUAACUUUUAUAACAAAGGUGUCUCGAUUGGCUUAAACAAAUCCAUUGGAUUAAACAAUGAUGAAGAUAAGAAUCGUGUAUGCAUUUUCUACAUUAGAUUAAAAAAUAGUUGUUUGUAAAAUUGAUUGAAGGGGGCAUGAAAUUUAAUCCAUAAAUAAAAGGAUUUAAUAUAGAUAUAUUAAAUAUUUUUUACACUUAUAAUCAAUCAAUCAUCAUUCAUAUGUUAAUUGUUAUUGACUUUUAAACAAGAAAAUUUAAAAUAAUAAUAAAUAAUAUAUUAACAAUAUAAAAACUUUGCACUACUAGUGUCUGUUAGUCUGCCUAGGUUUUAAACUUUAAAGAAAACAUUAAAUAUUGUGGUCCCGAUCUCCUGGAUCCGUGCUCCAAUGCUCGUCUCUUAUUUAUUGGAUCACUCGCACAAAAUACGUGUAAGAAGAAAAAAACAUUAAAUAUUUAGGUGAAUACUUAUCUCUUUAACCAAACAAGUAGAUUAAAUAAACAAUAUAAUUAAUUUAUUUUUUAUGGGUUUGUCUGAGAGUUAGAUUUUGAAAAAGAAAGAAAGAAAAUAUAAGAUUUGAGAGUAAUCUUAUAAGUGUAUUUCAUGACUUAUAAGUCUUCUUUUUCUUUUUUUCCCCUCCAAAAUUUAACUCUCAAACAAAUCUUAAUGUGGUUAGGCAUAGAUUUAAAAAAUAUAGUUAAUGUGUUUAUUAAAUUAAUCUAUUAAUUAAGUAAGAUAGAUUUGUAAAAACAAAUUUAAAUAUAGCAUUGAUUUUCUAAUCGAAUAAUUAAAAACCAAUUUGUUUUCUUAAAAAAGACAAUUAUAUUAAAAAACUGAAUUAGUAGCUCUGAAACUCACAUCAAUGAUAGUUGAUAGACAAUAAAAAAUAUACUACAUUUAAUAUAUUACAUUUGUCUAAAAAAAACUAUUAAAAUAAUGAAUAACCUUUUUGAGACCAAAAUUUUUAAAAUGAUAGACAAUAAAUAAAACAUAUCAAUUAACAAGAAAUGUAUUUCAUUUUCAUAACAUGAUAAACUUUUUAUUAUUUAUUUUUGUGAUAAUAAAGGGUAUCCACCAAUUUUAGAUAAAGAGUCAAGGGUAAUAAAUUGAGAAAUGGUCAAGAGACAUAUAUCAUUAAAAAUUAAUUCAAUUUUAUGUUAGAGAAAUAGGUCAUAAAAAUUAUAUAUUUACCUUGACAAUCGAUAAUAACAUAGUGAAAAAACUAAAUGAACUUGUUCAUGGUUUUUAUUGAUUUAGAGGAGACAUAUUUUAUGGUGCCUAUAAAGACAUUGUGGAAAGCUAUAAUCACUAAAUUAAAAGAGUUUCUAACAUGUCAAUUCUUAAUGAUAUUCACGGAAAAGCUCUUUCAGUGAUUCAGUUCUAAUUGAAAUUAUUAAACCUUACUCUAAAAUCAAAUAAAUGUUAAAAUGGAACAAAAUAAAAUAUCCUCUCCUUAUUGAUUGUACAAACAAUUCUACUAGAUUUAAGCAUGCUACCUAAAGAAUCAAUUCAACAUUCACUUAUCUACCCAAAAAAAUUAACAUUCACUUUUGGUAAAAGAAUUAUUUAACUGAGAUACUUUGUAUUUAAUAUCACAUUAUUAAAUUAUAAAUUUAUACAUCAUGUAUAUUUACUUAAUCAUAUAGAGAUUUUAAAAAGUUUAUAUUGAUUGUUGGUAUCUAAUCCAACUUUUUAUAUAUAACAUCAAACACAUACAAAUAAGUUUAUGAUAGAAUAUUAUAAAGUUAUUCCAUUCAUAUAGCCGACUCCACCAUAAUAAGAUAAUACUAUAAUUAUUAUUUUUUACUUACACCAUUCCCAUUUAUGGAGCUUUUAUUUAUAAAUUGGAGGGUAUAUUAUAUAUGAGAUGAUUUAGAUCGAAAUCCAUAACAAACAUAGGGUCUAGCAUGCAUGGGUUUAAUUACUUGGGUUACUCAAUCAUACAUAACAUUAAUGAAAGCAUUGCUUGACAAACAAGUCAUCACUUAUUCAAUAUACAUGCAUAUAUAGCUAAUUAAGGUGCACAUAUAAUUAUAGCACCUAGCAUGAGUAUGCAUUUGCUUUCACACAUUCUACUACUAAUUAAGCUUUGGAUAAGAUGCUAUGCAAAGCUACGGACACGUACUCAUAUAUUGUGUCUGAAACUGAUGUCACUGUCUCCAAUAACACAUUAGAUUUAGGAACAUUGGCCACUAUCUUACCACUGAAAUCAGCUUCUUUAUCACGGUAUCUGUCCCAUAACAUAACCCCUCCAUAGUUUGAUGUUUCCUUUAUGUGUGGAAGCACCUCAGAGUUCACAACUUCUGGUGGUAUAUAACCAAUUCUAGCUGCACUUUCAGCUGCUGGUAGACCUAAGAAGAUUGAGUUAUUUGAUUUAACUAAUGAAGCCCAUUUGUGCCAUGAUUGCAGCAACAAACUAGUGCCAGUUGAAGUUGAAUAUGCACAUUCUUCGUUGUUGUAGAAUUGUAUAAAGAUAUAAUCAAAAAGACCAGUUUGGAUAGCUUUCUCAAGGUAGAAAUUUUUUGGGUCAUUAGGGCAUUGAGGUGCUGCAGACAAGUAAAAAUACUUGUUCUGUCUAAAAGUGUCAAGUUCUCUAGCAAGGUCAUCCCAAUAAAGUUCAGUUUUUUCAAUAUCAAAAUCAAUGCCAUUCAAUG
rnacentral:lncRNA from 1 species